CUUUUUAACCCUCCUGUUGUCCUCAAGUUAAGACCUACAUCCCAUGUCUCAAGGGUCACACUGUCCCAGUCCGCACUGACUGGGGUCUUUUUGACCCAGUGAAAGGUCCUGUAGUCCUCACACAGUAAAAAAAAAUAAUAAUAAAAAAAAAUAAAAAAAUAAACCUGCAUCCCACGUCUCAGGGGUCACACUGACUGGGGUACUGACUGGGGUCUUUUUGACCCAGUGAUGACUGGGGUCUUUUUGACCCGGUGAAAAGUCCUGUAGUCCUCACACAGUAAAAAAAAAAACCUGCAUCCCACGUCUUAGGGGUCACACUGUCCCCAAUGUGGAAAUAUAUACUCACACACAUAUAGUAAUAAUAAUAAUGAUAAUAAUGAUAAUAAUAAUAAUAAUAAUAAUAAAAUUAACAAAUUAAUAAUAAUAAUAAUAAUAAUAAUAAUAAUAAUAAUAAUAAUAAUAAUAAUAAUGAGCAGACGGAGGGGAGGCGAGAGAUGACCUGAUAUCUCUAGCCGAUACCACACUGUUGAGCAAUGAUGUUUUGAUCAGAAGGACAAAGUUGAAUUUUAUGAUGAAUGACGAGAUGUCCUUUGAGGAUUGGUACAGCUACUAUUAUGACUUUUAGCCAUAAAACAAUGUUGUGUUGUAAUCUGUGGUGUGAUGUGCGCAAAUAAAGUCAUCAUCUGAAGCAAAA